rnacentral:hammerhead_ribozyme from 1 species
GUAUUGCUGAAGAGUCCCAAAGUAGGACGAAACAGCUGUCCAAUAC